UUUAUUUCCUUGUUGGGAUCAUCAGGCUUUUGCUCUCCAGACACCUUAUUUGUUUAUAGUUUCUGCAAAGGUUUGGAUGAUAAAUACAGUCUCGGUAAAUCUCCAGCAGCAGUUGUUCAAAAUAGCAUUGAACGUUGGGUUUUUGUUCACAGGCCCCUCACAAUAUGAAGAACUCGAGGCUUUUGCUUUUUACUUCUCUGACUCUGAUUCUCCACCUCUGUUCACAAAGCCUUUGAACUGAUGCUAACAUCCUAUUCAAAAUACACUUUCAAAAUGCACUUUUAAUCUUAUAUUUAAUAGGUGAUAACAUUUAAAACCAUGUUAACGUUUUCUAAUUAUAAAAUGCUUAUUGUAAUAUAUAAAUGUAUACCAAGGAAUUUGUAACUUAUUUAUAUAACAUAUAAAAAUGUUCAUUAUAGAAUACAUGAGGGAUAUCAAAAAAAUAUAAAGAAGAAAAUUAAUGUCACUUGUAUCCCACCACCCAGAGGACAGCCCCAGGAAAGUAGGGACAUUCCUUUUAGCUUUUCUUCUACAAAUGCAUUUACUCCAACGCACUCCUGUGAAGACACAACUAUUAACUUGUGCACCUCAUCUAUAAGGUAAGUCCAUAGAUAUUUUUAAAAAUAAAUUGCAAUUUUGGGUUUCGCAGGCUAACAUGCAGCCUGAAGAGCAACAGGGACUCAGGCCAGCUCAGCUGCAAUGCCGACCCUCCCACACCUGUGAAAUCAUCCAGAAGGUGCAAAUCUUGGGGAUAUUCCAUGACCUCCUCAUGGCCUUUGACCCUGAGGGCUGGAAUGGGUUUAGGAUUAAAAUGCCGAGAUCAGCUCAGACUUUGUCUCUCCACACUCUGACAGAACCUACAUCAUAAAGGCAGGAUGUAGGGACUGGAGAAAACACCCCAGAUACUGUUUCUGGAGUAUGGAGGGGGCGUCUGGCAGCCCUCCCUCCCUGGCCAGAGCCCUUAGGGCUGGCAUCAGCACUAGGCCCUCGCUCAGCAGCCUCUUGUAUGUCAACAGGAGAUUGCACGGCCAGAAAGAGGAGGAGUGGCUUGACCCAGAAAGGCCAGUUCCUGCCACAGACAGCGUCUCAAGAGCAGCUAUUACAGAUCUAAAAUUAUCAUUUUGGGCAUGGGCCUGAACACGAACUGACUUACAGCAAAUGUACUGUAUAAGAAGCAGAGGUAUCAAUCAAUAACCUUGAGAAAUAUCUUACAACGAAUACUUGAUGGAGAUUAUCUGGUAACAACAGCCCCUUCUAAAAUCUUCUAAACAAAGAGUUUGGAGUCUUCCAGAGGUUGAACUUUGGGACACCCAUUUCUCCUCGUGACUGGCAGCUCCAAACUCUAUUUUCUAAGGAAACAUUUAAGUUGACCAAGCUGACUUGACCUUGGGGUGAGGACAGUGAACUUCUUCUCUUUGGGCAUGUGGCCUUGGUGGCAUCACCACUUUCCUAAAGGGUCAUUGUGGUAGCUUAAAUUGGCCACUUGGGUACUUACAACUACAAAAAACCCAAAUGCCAAAAACUUUUUUUUUUCCCCAAGGAGCCAGUUGUUAAACAUUUACUACAAACCACUGGAGUCAGCCCAACAGACCAAUGAAUCAGUUCCUGGUGUCCUUGACAAAACACUGGUGCCCCCAAGCUGCCAACAGCCUCUGAGGCCCCUCCCCCACCACCCUCUGAGACCCACCACCAGUUCCUGCUGCUCUGUCUUAGCCAGCUCUGAAUAUGCUUUGAUGAACAGGCUGGCUCUCACCGGAGCAGACUUUAUCCUCCUCCUCUGCCCCAGCUGUGCUGAGACUUGGCCCUGCUGUAGGCCUGGGAGCAGGGACGGGUAGUGAGGGCAGGUCUUGAGGAGAACAAAGAACAUCUUGCAGGGAGCCCGCCCCAGGUGAAGUGUCACACAGGGACAAUCAGUUCUCUGGCAAGCGGGAAGGGAGUGCCUUUGCUGCCUUGGAGGCUCCCAGGGAAUUUGGGGGUUGAGACUCUCAGCUCACCUACCCAGUUGUCCACACCCAGUCUUAGGGCCAUUCCCUAUCUGGCUCUGGACUUUGACAUGGCUGUGGUUUUGGUCUCCUCCACAGCUCCGCGACUCUGUCAUGUGCUAGGCCUGAUUUCCAACAGUGAUUUCUCCUACCUGGUGACACAGAGACCUGACUCUGCAGACCUCCCAGUCUGGCCCUCAGGCUUUCAGACCUGUCCAAAGUUGUCAUCAAACUGUCCUAAGCCCACCACUUUCUUUCUUCAAAGUGUCCAGCUCCAACUAGGGAGCCACCCUUCUCCAUAAUCAUGAUCAUUGUCACCUACUCAUGAAACACCCCGUGGGCUGCACCUUGUCACAGCUGACCACAGCUGGAAAUUCCUUUCUGUACAAGACCAGAUAGUAAGUGAUUUUUGCUUUGUGGGCCUUUGUAAUCUCCACGGCAUAUUCUUUUGACUUUGCCUCCCUCCCUGUCCCUCUAUCCCAUAGACCACAGGCCAGAUUUGGCUUGAAGGCCAUAGCAUGCUGGCCUCUGAUCAUUACAAUCCCUCGUAUCUCUAGGAAUGGGGACCCUGUGGCUUUGAGACAAGUGAGCAGUUCAAUUCUAAAGUGAAAUCCUGUGUGAGGGUCCACUUUCAAGAACUAUUUCCAGUACCCAAUAUCUUAGUUUAGGUUCCCUAGAAACAGAGCCAGGUGUAGACUUAAGAACAAAACCUGUAGGGGAUAGGGGAUAUAGGCAAUCCCAGGACAGUAAAGUGGAGAAGAAAGAAAAAAAUGCACAUGAAUUCUCUUGCUGGCCACACUCAGCAGGUGCACAUCCUCAGCCCCAUGGACUUCUCAGGACCUGCCAAGUGAAAAACCAUGCCUUGGAUCUUUGCCCAACCAAGGGCAAAGGGCAGGGAAGUGGCCAGCUGGCUCUCUCCUGCCCCUGCCCCCCACACUGAGGGACUUUGGGAAGAACCCCAAAAGCACCUACAAUGGUGACCUUCUUGGGCUCUAAGUGACAGCCACCUGGGCUCCCAUGCCUGGCAAACCCAGGACUAUCUAGGACCCAGCCCCUCUCCAGGUGUGUGCACUGGAGCACAGUCUGCCACCUGCUGAAGGAGAGCUCAGGGACAGGGCUCCAUUCUCAUCUGCUUGUGAUCUGAAAGACUCAAACAAUCAAGAUGAGCCUCCCAGAGUGGACGCCCAGCCACCAGAGUCGUCUUCCGGAAUCCUGUUUUAAUAUCAUCUUCAUCUUCACUGCAUGAGUCCUUCCCAGCAGAUUCACAGCACGGACUGCAGAGGUGAGAAUGGAAGGCUCUAUCCUCAAAGCUCCCUUGCUAGGGACCUCCUGGUUCCAGUCCUCCCCUACCCCCUCCUCCUUAUGACUCCUGGGUGUCUCCCUAUUCUUCCUGCCCCACAUCCCCACCGCCCACACAACCACUCCCCAGCACUCCCUCACCUACAGCUGUCAUGGGCCCCUUUGCCCGUCCUGGGUCCACCAGCCUGCCAUCACACCCCGUUCACACACACACAGCCAGCAUGUGGGUGUACGUGGGGGUCUGCAUGGGAAGUACAGUCUCUGAGUGUCCCCAAGACCUGGACCACCUUCUGUAGCUCUUUAUUUCUGGCUCUUCCCUUAAGGCUAGGGACACUCUAGCCUGGAAAAUCUGCUCCAGCCCUGGAUGGAAAAGCCAAGGAUGCUGCCUACUCAGAGGGCCCAACCUUCAGUAGAUCACUCAGCAUCCAGAGCCCAGAGCAUUGCUGGGGAUUCUCCCUGGACUUUCAUACAAGCUAAUCCAACAAGCUCUCUCAGCGUGGCCACAGUCUUGAUGGGGAUACCCAGGUUUGUACCCAAGGUUGGGCCUCCCCUGGGAUGGCUGUGCCAUAUCCUUCUGAGCACCUGCUCUGAGAGGUGGGCGGGACGUCCGCCCAUCGGUGUCAGUCAUCCCAGACUAUUGCUCCACAGCUGGGUCCUGUGUUGAUCUCCCAUGCCGGCCAUUGGCUUCAUUCAGCAGCAUCAAUAUCACCCUUGUGCAAACAGGCCAUCCGCACUUUUGAAGAGUCCCCUGGUGCUGGUGGCAGCAGGCCAGAAGGAUCCCAUUUGUCCUUCUGUGCACAGAAUGGUCCCACCCACCCAUGAUCUCCUCCCUGUAACAAGGCCUGGAGCAGGUGGGCAUCUCCCAUUUCCCAUUCCUCCUCUUCAUAGGGCUCCAUCUGCUGAGGAGGAGCAGAAGGAUGGGGACACCGUCUCUCAUGAUGGAACCUCCGCAGGCCUCAAGGCUGCUGCUGCCACAGCUGUUGGAGCAAGACAAGGAUGUCCACUCUGACCACUUCUAUUGACACUGGAUAGUGCUCCUAGUCCUAAGACUUGCUAACCAAGUCCUCAGUUGCCCCAGAUGUCCUUCGCAAAGGGGUCAUGAAGACAUGGACA